rnacentral:rRNA from 1 species
CCUACGGGAGGCAGCAGUGGGGAAUAUUGGACAAUGGGGGGAACCCUGAUCCCGCGACGCCGCGUGAGUGAAGAAGUAUUUCGGUAUGUAAAGCUCUAUCAGCAGGGAAGAAGAUGACGGUGCCUGAAGAAUAAGCCCCGGCUAACUACGAGCCAGCAGCAGCGGUAAUACGUAGGGGGCAGGCGUCAGCCGGAGUUACUGGGUGUAAAGGGAGCGUAGACGGUGAGUCAAGUCUGAAGUGAACGCACGGGGCGCAACCCCGGGACUGCUGUGGAAACUCUAGGAUUGGAGUGCUGGAGAGGUAAGCGGAAUUCCUAGUGUAGCGGUGAAAUGCGUAGAUAUGAGGAAGAACACCAGUGGCGAAGGCGGCUUGCUGGACAGUAACUGACGUUGAGGCUCGAAAGCGUGGGGAGCAAACAGGAUUAGAUACCCGUGUAGUC